UGCGACCCCAGGUCAGGCGGGACUACCCGCUGA
rnacentral:rRNA from 1 species